UUGAUCCUGGCUCAGGAUGAACGCUGGCGGCGUGCUUAACACAUGCAAGUCGAACGUGAAGCCCGGUACCUAGUAUUGGGUGGAAAGUGGCGAACGGGUGAGUAACACGUUGGUGACCUGCCCUGAGGAGGGGAAUAACCGUGGGAAACCACGGCUAAUACCCCGGAUGUCUAAGCUGUUAGAGGGCUUAGACUAAAGCCCCUGCAAGGGGUGCGCCUCGGGAGGGGCCUGCGGGCUAUCAGCUUGCUGGUGAGGUAAUGGCUCACCAAGGCAUAGACGGGUAGGGGGCGUGAGAGCGUGGCCCCCCACAGUGGGACUGAGACACGGCCCACACUCCUACGGGAGGCAGCAAUUAGGAAUCUUGCGCAAUGGGGGAAACCCUGACGCAGCAAUGCCGCGUGAAGGAAGACGGUCUACGGAUUGUAAACUUCUUUUAUUAGGGAGCAGGAAGGAUAGUACCUAAUGAAUAAGCACCUGCUAACUGCGUGCCAGAAGCCUCGGUGAUACGUAGGGUGCAAGCGUUGUCCGGAUUUAUUGGGCGUAAAGUGACUGUAGGUGGUUGAGUAAGUUCUGUUUCAAAGACCCAGGCUCAACUUGGGGAAGGGAUAGAAAACUACUCAACUAGAGGGAGGCAGAGGAAUACGGAAUAUGUGGUGUAGCGGUAGAAUGCGUUGAUAUCACAUAGAACGCCAACAGCGAAGGCAGUAUUCUGGGCCUCUCCUGACACUCAUAGUCGAAAGCCAGGGUAGCGAAACGGAUUAGAUACCCGUGUAGUCCUGGCCGUAAAUGAUGCUAGUUAGAUGUCGGUUCCGUAAAAUCGGAAUCGGGGUCGCAGCUAACGCGUUAAACUAGCCGCCUGGGGAGUACGGUCGCAAGGCUGAAACUUAAAGGAAUUGGCGGGGACCCGCACAAGCAGUGGAGC
rnacentral:rRNA from 1 species